rnacentral:snRNA from 1 species
UUUCAUGACCAUUUGCGCUAGUC